rnacentral:ncRNA from 1 species
AGGAGCCGUGUGAGAUGAAGUCUCAUGCACGGUUUUGAAUAGGAGAAAGAAGUGGAAUCCUCUUUUCGACUCUAAC